rnacentral:rRNA from 1 species
AUAAGCGGAGGAAAAGAAACCAACAGGGAUUGCCCUAGUAACGGCGAGUGAAGCGGCAACAGCUCAAAUUUGAAAUCUGGCCCUAGGCCCGAGUUGUAAUUUGCAGAGGAUGCUUUUGGCAAAGCGCUUACCGAGUCCCCUGGAACGGGGCGCCACAGAGGGUGAGAGCCCCGUAUGGUAUGACGCCGAGCCUCUGUAAAGCUCCUUCGACGAGUCGAGUAGUUUGGGAAUGCUGCUCUAAAUGGGAGGUAAAUUUCUUCUAAAGCUAAAUACCGGCCAGAGACCGAUAGCGCACAAGUAGAGUGAUCGAAAGAUGAAAAGCACUUUGAAAAGAGGGUUAAAUAGCACGUGAAAUUGUUGAAAGGGAAGCGCUCGUGACCAGACUUGCGCCGGGCGGAUCAUCCAGCGUUCUCGCUGGUGCACUCCGCCCGGCUCAGGCCAGCAUCGGUUUUCGCCGGGGGACAAAAGCUUCGGGAACGUGGCUCCCUUCGGGGAGUGUUAUAGCCCGUCGUUUAAUACCCCGGCGGGGACCGAGGACCGCGCUUCGGCAAGGAUGCUGGCGUAAUGGUCAUCAGCGACCCGUCUUGAAACACGGACCGAGGAGUCAAGCAUUAGUGCGAGUGUUUGGGUGUAAAACCCGCACGCGUAAUGAAAGUGAACGUAGGUGAGAGCUUCGGCGCAUCAUCGACCGAUCCUGAUGUUUUCGGAUGGAUUUGAGUAGGAGCAUUAACGCUUGGACCCGAAAGAUGGUGAACUAUACUUGAAUAGGGUGAAGCCAGAGGAAACUCUGGUGGAGGCUCGCAGCGGUUCUGACGUGCAAAUCGAUCGUCAAAUUUGAGUAUAGGGGCGAAAGACUAAUCGAACCAUCUAGUAGCUGGUACCGCA